UACAUGGGGUGCAAACGUUGCUCGGAAUCAUUGGGCGUAAAGCGCGCGUAGGCGGUUACACAAGUUGGAUGUGAAAGCCCUCGGCUUAACUGAGGAAGUGCAUCCAAAACUGUGCAGCUAGAGUACUAAAGAGGGUCGCGGAAUUCCCGGUGUAGCGGUGAAAUGCGCAGAUAUCGGGAGGAACACCAGUAGCGAAGGCGGCUCGCUGGGCCGUUCCUGACGCUGAGACGCGAAAGCUAGGGGAGCGAACAGG
rnacentral:rRNA from 1 species